rnacentral:rRNA from 1 species
GACGAACGCUGACGGUGUGCUUUAGACAUGCAAGUCGAACGAGAAAGCCCUUCGGGGUUAGUAAAGUGGCGAACGGGUGAGUAACACGUGGGCAAUCUGCCCCUCGCAGGGGGACAACCGGAGGAAACUCCGGCUAAUACCCCGUAAGUUCAAAGGGAGGCAUCUCUCUUCGAAGAAAGGUAGCUUCGGCCAUCCGGCGAGGGAUGAGCCCGCGGUGCAUUAGCUAGUUGGUGGGGUAACGGCCUACCAAGGCGACGAUGCAUAGCUGGUCUGAGAGGAUGAUCAGCCACACUGGGACUGAGACACGGCCCAGACUCCUACGGGAGGCAGCAGUCGGGAAUCUUGCCCAAUGGGCGCAAGCCUGAGGCAGCGACGCCGCGUGA